GAUGAAUGCUGGCGGCGUGGAUAAGGCAUGCAAGUCGAACGGCCCGCAAGGGCAGUGGCAGACGAAGUAGUAAUACGCAGGUACGCACCGAAGAGUCGGGCAUAGCUAGCCGAAAGGUUAGGUAAUUCCCGAUGGUCCCGAAAGGGUAAAGGGGCAACUCGCUCUUUGAGCGGCCUGCGCGGUAUCAGCUUGAUGGUAGGGUAACGGCCUACCAUGGCUACGACACCUAGGGGAGCUGAGAGGCUGACCCCCACUGAUAGGACUGAGACACGGCCUAUACAUCUACGGAUGGCUGCAGUCGAGAAUCUUCCACAAUGGACGAAAGUCUGAUGGAGCGACGCCGCGUGGUUGAUGAAGUCCUUCGGGACGUAAAAACCUUUUAUGGGGGAGGAAGUAGAAGACGUACCCCAUGAAUAAGG
rnacentral:rRNA from 1 species